rnacentral:rRNA from 1 species
UGAGUAGAGUGGCGCACGGGUGAGUAACACGUAGGUGACCUACCCUUUGGAGGGGGAUAACUUCGAGAAAUUGAAGCUAAUACCCCAUAAGAUCUACAAAAGUGAAAGUAGUAGAUGAAAGAUUGCCUCUGCUUGCAUGCAAUCGCCGAAGGAUGGGCCUGCGGGACAUUAGCUUGUUGGUGGGGUAACGGCUUACCAAGGCUACGAUGUCUAGCCGGUCUGAGAGGAUGAUCGGCCACACUGGAACUGAGACACGGUCCAGACUCC